rnacentral:rRNA from 1 species
UAGGGAAUAUUGGACAAUGGUUGCAAGACUGAUCCAGCCAUGCCGCGUGCAGGAAGAAGGCCUUCUGGGUCGUAAACUGCUUUUCCCCGGGGAUAAAAGGACCGUGCGCGGUAAAUUGAAGGUACCGGGGGAAUAAGCCACGGCUAACUACGUGCCAGCAGCCGCGGUAAUACGUAGGUGGCAAGCGUUGUCCGGAUUUAUUGGGUUUAAAGGGUGCGUAGGCGGCCCUGUAAGUCAGCGGUGAAAUACGGCAGCUCAGCUGUCGAGGUGCCGUUGAUACUGCGGGGCUUGAGUGUUGAUGAGGCAGGCGGAAUUGACGGUGUAGCGGUGAAAUGCUUAGAUAUCGUCAAGAACACCGAUUAGCGAAGGCAGCUUGCCAAGCAACAACUGACGCUGAGCACGAAAGUGCGGGGAUCAAAACA